GGUUAACAAAACUAUUAUACUCUGUAGCAACAGGUUGCGAGAGUAUAAAAAAGGAGAAUAAUUUGGAGUCAGGCUGUCGAAGCCGAUCUAAUAGAGUUGUGGCGAAAUAAAUGCUCAGCUUCGAUCGGCUAGUCAAAAACAGCUGUUUUAUAAAUCUCUAACGACAGUGAGAAUAGUCUAGAUUAGUGAAUACAAUAACAUUAAGGUGUCAUAGUGCAUGAUCACCUCAAGGCUACAUAACAUAGGACCACCCACACGUUGUUCAGUCGAACAUCUACUCUACUUAUCCUAGAUCACCAAUUAUUGUGAUUGAUUUUUAUUUAUUAUUAUACUUUUAUAUGUUAAAGCAACUCAACUUUUUUUUAACCAAACUUUUUUGGUAUAACGAACGUCCACUCUUUUCAGUCAAAGUUUCAUUGGUGUUGCCAACAUUGAAACUGAAGAUUUGACAGAUAGUUAAACUUCUGAAAACUUAAAACGAAAAAUCAAAACAAUUAAAUUCAGGUAUUGCUCACAAAAAGUUGCAGUUACACGAUCAAGAAAUUAGAAUUAACAGCCGAGACAAAUUUGAUUUGGUACUUGCGGUAAGUACGGAAGGGAGGAAUGUCGGUGACUGUUUGAGCUAUAAGGCAGCGCAAACGGCUCUAUACGUUUUAAGAGAGCAUCGCAAAGAAAGCCAGCAGAGAGUUGUCAACGGCAAUAUGCGCAACGAGAAAAGUCCCAACGAAUAAAAGGGAAAAGUAAUAAUUACGAACACAACGAGUAAACCAAGUAAGCUACGAAAAGCAAAAACGAAGGCAACAAAGUUUUUAUAUUAUUCAAAUUUAACAACGUUCGUGAACUAUUGAUAAAAUAUGAUUCUAUUAUCUAUCUA